UAGGGAAUCUUCGGCAAUGGACGGAAGUCUGACCGAGCAACGCCGCGUGAGUGAAGAAGGUUUUCGGAUCGUAAAGCUCUGUUGUAAGAGAAGAACGAGUGUGAGAGUGGAAAGUUCACACUGUGACGGUAUCUUACCAGAAAGGGACGGCUAACUACGUGCCAGCAGCCGCGGUAAUACGUAGGUGGCAAGCGUUGUCCGGAUUUAUUGGGCGUAAAGGGAACGCAGGCGGUCUUUUAAGUCUGAUGUGAAAGCCUUCGGCUUAACCGGAGUAGUGCAUUGGAAACUGGAAGACUUGAGUGCAGAAGAGGAGAGUGGAACUCCAUGUGUAGCGGUGAAAUGCGUAGAUAUAUGGAAGAACACCAGUGGCGAAAGCGGCUCUCUGGUCUGUAACUGACGCUGAGGUUCGAAAGCGUGGGUAGCAAACAGGAUUAGAUACCCUGGUAGUCCACGCCGUAAACGAUGAAUGCUAGGUGUUGGAGGGUUUCCGCCCUUCAGUGCCGCAGCUAACGCAAUAAGCAUUCCGCCUGGGGAGUACGACCGCAAGGUUG
rnacentral:rRNA from 1 species